rnacentral:rRNA from 1 species
UACGUAGGUGGCAAGCGUUAUCCGGAAUUAUUGGGCGUAAAGAGUGCGCAGGCGGUCAAGUAAGUUUGAGGUUAAAGGCCAGGGCUUAACCCUGGUUCGCCUUGAAAACUGCAUGACUAGAGUACAGAAGAGGAAAGUGGAAUUCCAUGUGUAGCGGUGGAAUGCGUAGAUAUAUGGAGGAACACCAGUGGCGAAGGCGGCUUUCUGGUCUUGUACUGACGCUCAUGCACGAAAGCGUGGGGAGCAAAUAGG